AUUGCGCAUGUUUUCACGGACGUGAGUAUACAGUAUACGUAUAACACAACUACCGUUAAAUAAAAUUCGAUAAUUUGAAAUAUAGUAAAAAAUAAUACAUACCAAAUUUAAGUUUUGAUAAAAAUAUUAUUCUUUUAUGCAUAAAAUAAUAGAAUAAAUUGUUAUGAAUUUAAAUAUUUAAUACUUAAUCGUAUGAUAUAAAGGUUAUAUCCCUCUGUAUAUUUUCAGAUUAUCUCAAUUAUUUACUUGCUCGAUUAUUUUGAGUAAUAGAAAGAAAAAUACGUUUGUUUGACUUAAGAUUUUAUUCUAAAUUGGCUUAAAAUGGUAUGUAUACCAUGUGUAGCUAUACCAAUAUUACUCAUUAUAUGGAGAUUCUUGAUACAGCCAUUAUUUAUAAAAUGGUGGCAGUUCAGAAACAAACAAGUAGAAUUAACAAAUAAUGAACAACCCCCGCAACUUGUAAAGGAAUGUAAAAAUGGAGUUUGUACAUUAUCAUGGACAAAAAAUCAAGAUGAAAAUUCCAUGAAAAAGCAUUGAAAUGAAACUUGUCUGUAAACACAAUUAUUCCGAAUAUAAUUUAUUGUAUAAUAUUAAACUUUAUAUUUGUUUACAACUUUUUAAAUAACCAUAAGUAUAUUAUGCAUAUACAUAAUAUACAUCUUGUGCAAAGUAUUUAUUAUAUUUAGGAUGUUCGUGUUAUUACGCGAAAUUCAUGGGAGAUUUAAAAAGUUUGUUCAAAUUAUUGUGUUACCUAUAUAAAAGAUAAUAAAAUUUUAUCCUCUUCUGCUUUUCUCGCAAAUCUAUUACUAAUAAUAAUUACUGAUACUAAUACUAGAAACAAAUAGCUCGUCAUCUUGUAUAUCAAUAACAUAUAGUUAUAUGAAAAUGUAAUUUUACUUUGUAUUCCAACACAGUUAUUUAUGUAUUCUUAUGUUGUAUUUUCAAGAAAAUUGAAGUUUUGUAAGAUAAUGAAAAAGGGUAUUACAUUUAUUAGUUUAAAAUACAUUAUACAUCACUUAACAAUACUUAAAUAUUCAUAAAAGUUUAAUGUACAUUCCGAAGUUCCACUUCAAACAUCAGUGUACUAUUACCAGGAAUAACAGGUGGCGAGCCUUUUGCUCCAUACCUAUAACAAACAUGUAAAACGUAAUAUGAAUAAUAUAUUUAAAUUUAGUUCACACAUAAAUGAAUGAUACAUACGCCAUA